AGUCGAGCGAGGCCUGGGGGGCAACUCCCAGAGUCGAGCGGCGGACGGGUGAGUAACACGUGGGUAACCUGCCCGGAAGUGGGGAAUACCUCGGGGAAACUCGAGCUAAUACCGCAUGACAUCUUCGGGACGAAAGUUCUGACGAUCAAAGCGGGGUCGCAAGAUCUCGCGCUACCGGAUGGGCCCGCGCCCGAUUAGCUAGUUGGUGAGGUAACGGCUCACCAAGGCUUCGAUCGGUAACCGGCCUGAGAGGGCGAUCGGUCACACCGGAACUGAGACACGGUCCGGACUCCUACGGGAGGCAGCAGUGGGGAAUCUUGCGCAAUGGGCGAAAGCCUGACGCAGCAACGCCGCGUGGAGGAUGAAGGCCCUUGGGUUGUAAACUCCUGUCGGCUGGGAAGAAAUCGUACGGUGCUAAUACCACCGUGCGUUGACUGUACCAGCAAAGGAAGCCCCGGCUAACUCUGUGCCAGCAGCCGCGGUAAUACAGAGGGGGCCAGCGUUAUUCGGAAUUAUUGGGCGUAAAGGGCGCGUAGGCGGCCAUGCGUGUCUUCCGUGAAAUCCCUCGGCUUAACUGAGGACGUGCGGAAGAAACUGCAAGGCUCGAGUCCGGGAGAAGGGGGGUGGAAUUCCCAGUGUAGCGGUGAAAUGCGUAGAUAUUCGGAGGAACACCGGUGGCGAA
rnacentral:rRNA from 1 species